GCCUUAUCGAGAGAAGCGGAGGGAACUGGCCCGUCGAUGCUUCAGCAACCGGCCUGUGCGGCCAAGGUGCUAACUCCAGCGGGAGCGAUCCCGAAAGAUGAGCG
rnacentral:ncRNA from 2 species